CUGAGGCUGGUGCUCCAGGCGGGCGUGGCCAUCUUCGUCGUUUUCCGCGGUCCGCUACAGGAACAAUAUUUACCUUCGCCAUAUUGCUACCGUCCUCGACCUGGACUGAAAGCCCGCUGCAGCCUAACACCCACAUCCCCUUAUCGUGGAGAUGCCGGGGGAAUCAUGUGGACGUUUGAGGACGGAGAGUGCAAAGAAAUAAACGUGAUCUACCAUUCACCUUCCACAACACUCAACAAAUUUGACACGAAGCUACAGUGCAUUAACUAUUGCCGGCCAAAGAACACCAAAUUAUAAGGCACUUAAUUGGCUAAGUACCACAAGCAAAGACAACUAGGAAGCCUAUCUGCACCGCACUUGGCGACGUGGCGACUUCGAACGAGGACACAAAAUGUCGUACAGCAAACAUCCAUCUAGUAACGGCUAUACUAUAUGUCUGUAUAGUAACGCAGUUCGCGGGGCAGGUGAUAUGCAGUCAAGAAGACUCGACCGCAGAAUUCGAGAAAAACUCUGAAUAAAG